UACGGAGGGUGCGAGCGUUGUUCGGAAUUACUGGGCGUAAAGGGCGCGCAGGCGGCUUUAUAAGUCAGAUGUGAAAGUCCACGGCUUAACUGUGGAAGUGCAUUUGAAACUGUGAGGCUUGAGUACCAGAGGGGAAGGUGGAAUUCCCGGUGUAGAGGUGAAAUUCGUAGAUAUCGGGAGGAAUACCGGUGGCGAAGGCGACUUUCUGGCUGGAUACUGACGCUGAGGCGCGAAAGCGUGGGGAGCAAACAGGAUUAGAUACCCUGGUAGUCCCU
rnacentral:rRNA from 1 species